CCUACGGGAGGCUGCAGUGAGGAAUAUUGGUCAAUGGCCGGAAGGCUGAACCAGCCAUGCCGCGUGCAGGAUGAAGGAUCUAUGGUUUGUAAACUUCUUUUAUAUGGGAAUAAAGUGAGGAACGUGUUCCUUUUUGUAUGUACCAUAUGAAUAAGCAUCGGCUAAAUCCGUGCCAGCAGCCGCGGUAAUACGGAGGAUGCGAGCGUUAUCCGGAUUUAUUGGGUUUAAAGGGUGCGUAGGUGGUUAAUUAAGUCAGCGGGUAAAGUUUGUGGCUCAACCAUAACAUUGCAGUUGAAACUGGAUGACUUGAGUAUAUUUGAGGUAGGCGGAAUGCGUGGUGUAGCGGUGAAAUGCAUAGAUAUCACGAAGAACUCCGAUUGCGAAGGCAGCUUACUAAACUAUAACUGACACUGAAGCACGAAAGCGUGGGGAUCAAACAGGAUUAGAUACCCUGGUAGUC
rnacentral:rRNA from 1 species